GGAGGAGUGACCGAGUGGUUGAAGGUACCGGUCUUGAAAACCGGCGACGUGCAAACGUUCUAGAGUUCAAAUCUCUACUCCUCCG
rnacentral:tRNA from 1 species